GGAUUUUAAGCGCUAUGCUCACUCUCCCUAAUCCCAGCCUGACAGUACACUAUAUAUGCUAAUAUUAAAUGACACCAGAUGAUUUUUAUUGUCAAAGCAAUGCAAUUUCAGGAACAGAACCAUUUCCAGUUAAUAGAGUGACAUUAGUAGUUGAUAGACUUAGCUUCAGCCUCAGGAGCUAAGUCCAGCUCACUCAUCUGCCAGCGAUACGGUAACUUAGUUCAAAAGGACCAUUUGGAAAGCAGUGCUGCCAGCUGCUUGGUCACUGCUCCUUAGAUAAGGGAGGCCCAUUCCCUUGGCUUAUUCUCUGAGCAUAAUGUGCUCACAGCAUCUGUCAGGACUCAUUGCUUUCAAAAGAAGAGGACUUACCUUAAAUCAACUGAAGCACAAAAUGAAACUCAAGUAACUACCUCAUGUAAAUCAUACAACUAAAAAGUCCAGAUGCCUUUGAACUGGGACGUGGGUUUUCCCUGUCUUCAGACUUGAACUGAAACACCAGCUCUUCCUGGGUCUUGAGCCUGCUUGUCUUCAGAUUGCAACUUGCACCAUUGUGUCGCCUGGUUCUCAGGCCUUUAGACUCAGAACUACACCAUCAGCUCACCUGGAUCUCCAGCUUGUCAACUCUUCUGGCAAAUCAUGGGACUUGUCAACCUUCUUAACGAUAAGUUUCCACUGUUGGAGGAGGAAGCCUGGAUAUAUGUGCAUGGGUGGGAUUGCAAUGAAGACUUGGGGAAAAAGGAAGGUGUCUGUCCUGGCCAAGACACUCAAAUGUGAGAGCUCUAUCUGUGACCUCCAGGGUGGACCGCUUCAGGGUACAUAGCUAGAAUUUGUGGAAAGGGGGAAAGUAGAUUGAUACAUGUGUGUAUACAGUCCUGUGGAUUCUAACCCAGAACAACUCAAGUGACCUCAGUUCACGAAGACAAAAGAAGAUUUUCGUUUGAUUGUGUCUGGGUGGGUGUUUCGUUCAAGCAAGAACUGAGCAAAAUAAAAGUUGUCUUUAUAAGUCCUCAGUCUAA
rnacentral:lncRNA from 1 species